UCAGGCCGACGGUACAGGUCACAUAAAACCAGGACAAACAGAUUCAGGGAUAGCUUCUUUCCCAGAGCUAUCACCGUAGUAAAUAAACACAAAAACAAUUGAAACUGCUUAGCUACACGAUACUGUCACCGUCAUUUAUUAUGCUGCUAUCCAUACUGUCAUUAUAUUAAUGCUGCUAUCCUGUAUAUAUCGUACUUACUAGUGUUUGUUUUAUUGUACCUUUUAUAUUUUACAUUUAUAUUUAUUAUUGUAUUUUUGCACCAAGGGAGUGGCACUCCAAUUUCGUUGUACCCUGUACAAUGACAAUAAAGGCUAUUCUAUUCUAUUCUAUUCUAUUCUAUUCUAUAAAGACCGCCAUGCAGGGAGAGUGGGGAAUUAUUAUAUAUGUGUAAGUAAGUAUAUGUAUAUACAUAUUGUAUAGGAUUCAAAAAUACACUUUACUAACUGCAGCAGAACAGACUGCUGCAUAGUGCAGUGGUUAGGUGUUGACAGCAGCAGGGAUUCAGUAAAGUAUAAGACUAAUGGGCGGAGCCAAACGUAAAUAAACAUGGGACAAGAUCAUGGACCAUACACUAUGUUUUUCAACUGUAUGCUUUCUUGUGAAUACAGUUGAAUCCUUAACCAAGUUACACUUUGGCAAAAGAUAUAGUUUUGAAAAACACGGUGAGCUCUAAACUGAAAUUUAAGCAGGAGGCAUGUUGCUGUUUACUGUGUGCAGCGCAUAAUUCUUCUGAUCUAAAACAGACUGCUUAAAUAGUCUAUUUCAGAUGUUGUUUUCCAGCGGUACCAUAGCAACAUCUUGUGAUGGGACCACAAAAGAAGGUCUGUUAGUUUCUGUGCUGUCUGAUGCACUUGAAAAGAAUUGGUUAUGCUCUGCACCAUCAUGCCAGCCAAUAGGCACGUUCAGACAUGUAGCAAGGGCCACAGCAAGUAUACAGACUCACUUCAUUGUGUCUAUGUAAAACCUCACAGGUAAACUCCCGAGGGGUUGAGACCUCAUCCUCUACUUCUUUUGAGUCACAUUACCUCGGAACAAUUCCCAUGAUUCCAUUACCGAGCUUCCAAAUAACAUUAAUCUACAACACCAGUAAAAGCAGCAUCACCUUUGUGAUUCAACAACUGAGCAGCCCUGCUGUCCAGCAUGUCAUUUUAUCCACCAGAGCUGAACAUGACUUUCGACAGCAUGGAUUUUAAACCACAUAUAAGAAUAACAGGAGGAAGAAUAUGAUUUAUAAAGACAAUCUGUUGGUCAGUACAUUAAUAAUGUCAGCAGCUGACAGAAGCUGUCAUUUCAGAAACCAAUGGCAGGCAGACUGAGCACUGACUAGUGAGAUAUAUAUAUAUAUUCACUUACAUAUUUAAUAAUUAGGAAUCACCCAUUUUCUUUACUGAAGAAGGGAUCAAUUAAUAGCUUCCUUUUGAAUUAAAUGAUGCAUCAAAUGGCUUCUUUAUUGGAAGCGUGACAAAGCAGGACCAAGAAAGCCUGGAUAACCAACAAUAAUAUUACUGAUAAUCACACCAAUUAUCUCUCCCUAGGGUUUUAGGUUUUGUUGAACCCAAUAACUCAAAGAAAGUCUGGCACAUUUGUAUAAAAAAUUUUAUUGUAGAAAAUUUGAGAAUUUAUAAUGAUUGCUAUGAAAUUUUAGAAUCAUCUAUCAAAUACUUUAAGAUAUUUUUUUUUAAAUAAUGGCAGCCACAAGUGCUCCCCCUCAGCCUCCCAGCAGAUGUACCUAUGGCAGGGGUGUCGAACUCCAGGCCUCGAGGGCCGGUGCCCUGCAGGUUUUAUAUAUCACCCUGGGUCAACACACCUGAAUCAAAUGAUUAGUUCGUUAACAAGACAUCUUGAGGAGGUAAUUUAGCCAUUUCAAUCAGCUGUGUUGGAUCAAGGACAUCUAAAACCUGCGGGACCUAUGGUGACUUACUUGAGUUAAAGCAUUCACACAAUCGUUAGAAAACCUCUGUCCUUGAGUUCGAGUUCACAAGUUUCAAACUCAUCCAAGAUUUUUAGUAUGCACCUAAUGGUACCAAUUUCAAAAAUCCUACAUCAUCUUGUUCUUAAGUUACUGCAUUCACAAACUUGGUUGGCCAUACCGCCCGCCUCGCCACCAGGGAAGGAUGACAAUGUCCCAUCAGGGUUUUACAGCUGAAGGGUGAAAACGUUGCAGUGAAAUGGCACAAUUAAAUAAAAUACAACUGUAUACUGCA